UACGAAGGGGGGCUAGCGUUGCUCGGAAUCACUGGGCGUAAAGGGUGCGUAGGUGGCGUCGUAAGUCGGGUGUGAAAUUUCGGAGCUUAACUCCGAAACUGCAUUCGAUACUGCGGUGCUUGAGGACUGGAGAGGAGACUGGAAUUUACGGUGUAGCAGUGAAAUGCGUAGAGAUCGUAAGGAAGACCAGUGGCGAAGGCGGCUCACUGGCCCGAUACUGACGCUGAGGCACGAAAGCGUGGGGGAGCAAACAGG
rnacentral:rRNA from 1 species